UCAUAAAUAUUUUCUUCUCAACAAUAUAAUCUCAACUCUAAGUCUUACACGUAUAUACAUCUGCAAAACUUAAUUACGGGCAGAUCAAGAAUAAGAUGGUAAAAACGAAAGAAGAAGGAGGGAUUUUGAGAGGAGGAAUUAAAGCUAGAAUUCGACCAAGAGGUUAAUUGGUAUCUCUGGUAAUGAACUUAUCUGUUGUGUAAAGGAUUAGGACCAGUGUAGACUUUCCUCUUGUCGGCUCCAAAAAUGUCUUGCUCAUCAUCUUUAUCGUUUGUAUUUGCUCUGAAGGCGGGUGGGGAGUCAAAAGGUUUGAGCUGAGAAGCAGAGGAGGCAGAGGUAGGUUUGAAACUGUGAAAUCUGGAUUUUCCAGCAAGGCAUGGAGCGGUGAAUUGUGAAAGAGUAAGGAGGGCCAGAAACAGUACAACCAUCAGCCCCAUCUGCUUCUUGCUCCUUGCACAGACCAUCGCAUGGGAUUGAGAUCGAUGUCCGCAGGACGACUCAGGCAGGAUCGCUCGAGAUUUGACACUGAAGGCGAAGGAGUUCUAACAGAGAGGAAAAGUCAAAUGAAAUGGGGAGAGUCAAGAUGCAUGGAACUUGGUGCCACACUUUCUUGAUAGUAUGCUGAAAAAUACUUAAAAGAAAAUGCAGAUUUCAGAGCCGGGUUUUGUCUCACUCAACCCCGAGACAAACACAAGCAGCAAGGAAGGAAAGUAGCAGAAAAGGAAGAAAUGGGAGAAGGAAAAGGUGAGAGUGGGAAAGGGAGAGACAAAAAUGAGGGUUUUGAAAGGCUUAAAGUGAAAUGAAAGCUUCCCAAUGCACUUUCUAAAGUUCUACUCAUGACUAGCCCGCCAGAUAUAAUUGAUACACAUAUAUGUGAAUCUUCUUGUCAAA